rnacentral:rRNA from 1 species
GACGAACGCUGGCGGCGCGCCUAACACAUGCAAGUCGAACGGAGCUGAGAGAAGCUUGCUUUUCUUAGCUUAGUGGCGAACGGGUGAGUAACGCGUGAGUAACCUGCCCUGGAGUGGGGGACAACAGUUGGAAACGACUGCUAAUACCGCAUAAGCCCACGAUCCGGCAUCGGAUUGAGGGAAAAGGAUUUAUUCGCUUCAGGAUGGACUCGCGUCCAAUUAGCUAGUUGGUGAGGUAACGGCCCACCAAGGCGACGAUUGGUAGCCGGACUGAGAGGUUGAACGGCCACAUUGGGACUGAGACACGGCCCAGACUCCUACGGGAGGCAGCAGUGGGGGAUAUUGCACAAUGGGGGAGACCCGGAUGCAGCGACGCCGCGUGGAGUAAGAAGGUUUUCGGAUUGUAAACUCCUGUCGUUAGGGACGAUAAUGACGGUACCUAACAAGAAAGCACCGGCUAACUACGUG